rnacentral:tRNA from 1 species
GGCGGCAUAGCCAAGAGGCUAAGGCGAGGGUCUGCAAAACCCUUAUUCCCGGGUUCGAAUCCCGGUGCCGCCU